CCCAUUUUUAUGUUGUUUGAUUGAUAUUUUUUCCGUGAAAAAUAUUUUCCCACUUUCAAUCAUGUGAUCAGAUUUUCCUUGAAAACAAGGAAGAUAUUUUCUUUGGGUAGAGUCGAAUUUUAUUUUCCAUGAAAUUCAAAGUUUCCCAAAAUUCCAUUUUAUCAAGUCUUCCACCUACUCACGUAUCUAAUCUCGUUCUCUUCUCUUCCCCAUGUACAAAGUCCUCUCUAAUCACACAAUAUAUCUAACCCAAAAAGACGGAAGAAGAAACCAAAAAGAAGGAAGACGAAACCAAAUCAUCACACAAACGAACUAGAAAGAAGGAAGAAAAAUCAAGUACCUGAUCGAAUCAUUGCUUCCAUAACCACCCUAUUCACUGCAAAAAGUCGACACUGCGCUUUUAAUUGCGUCAAUUACAAUUUGUUUCACAGACUUUAAAAAAUUGCGGUAUGUUGUUCAAUGUGAAUGUCUUUUAUGUAUUUUUUCCCAUAAAUAAGUUUAUUGGAUCAUAAUCUAGAUAUUAAUUGUGUAAAACGUUUGCUCUGGUUUCGUUUGAUACUGAAUGUGCCCAAUUAUUUUCCAAAAAUUUGAUAGUUUGUGAUUUACAGUACUUGUUAUAGUUGUAUAUUAAUUUUCAUCCUUGGAUAUGUGUUAGUUUUGUGUCUCAAUAACUUAAAUAUGGUUUGUGAUUUACGUUUUUGAUGCCAUUAUUUUCUAAGUUAUUCCUCCUAAAUAUGUAAGUUGCCAACAGGUUGAGCAAAUACCAUUGUUUUGCCAAGUUAUCAAAAAUGACUUGUAAUUCGUUUUGAAGCGAGAAAAUAUGUUUUGAAUCAAUUAAUUGCAGAAUUUGACUUUUGUGCUCGUGUUCUGUAUCACUUUGUCCCUCGCGUGUCCUCUGUGUGGUGACAAGGUUUCUUAUCUGUUGUGCUGGUUCACUUUUACUCUUUUGACAUAUAGUUUUGCUUGAAGCUUGCAUUACUAGCUUCCUUGCCAUUUACCUAUGGAGACUUAGAUGGCCAUGUGAUAUAUAUUGAUGUGGAAUCCUAUAGUUCAACAAAGUACCUAUUGAUUCGGCUGUACUAAUUUCAAUGCUUCACCAUGAAUAGCUUUCUAGAAUCUUAGUCACACUCUGCCUUUCUUUUCAGAAUGAUAGAAAUGGGGUUUAAUAUUUUCCCAGGAUUAUUUCUCAUCGAAGGAAUGGCAAAAGAGACAAACAUGUUCAGUGUUCUGUACUUUAUCUUUCUCAAUUCAUUCCUUGAUGUUUUGUGAUGGGUAUGAGAUGAUAUUUCAGCCCUUUUAUGGUGCUCAAGAUAACCAAGAAAUGGGUUUGUUUGUAUAUUAUGUUAAGGGCUAUUAAUUUAGUUAGAUCAAGAAUUAGAAUAUCAAUUUCAAGUUUAACCAUAGUGCUUAUAUCCUAUGUUGGUCGAGGACAUGACUGAUAAUUUUUACUGUUAUUACUUGCAAAUACCAUGUUUUUAUAUAGAUUGAUGUGCCAUCAAAAUUAUUUUGUAAUUUGUCCACAACUGUGACUAGUCAUAGGGAUUGAACCUUCCACUUUAAAAUGCAGUUUUAAGCUCCUCUUCAGCUACAGAUAGAUUUUUCCUCACCUGCCUUGGUUGCCUUUACUAUUUGCUUCAACCUUCUAAUAUAAGAAUACCUAAAAGAUGCAUGCAGACUCCAUUAUAAAUCUAUAAGAUUUUUUAUUUCUCUGAAUAAUGUUUCAGAAUUAUUUCUUUGGUAGUAACUCAUAUUGCAUAAAUAUUAUUCAAAAUGACUAAAUUUAUUAUUCAUCUUGUAUAAAUAUAAUACAUAAUUUAUAUGUAAAUUUUAUUUCAUGUGAUAGUUCAUAGCAUGGCUGCAACAAGGAAUCAACGUCGACGCAAACGACAACAUUUAGGUUUAUUUUAGACUAUGGUCAUACAAGCAAUUGUGAUAAAUAAUGACAUUAGGCAUCGUGAAUAAUAUCUUUCUAGAGCUCCCACACUAAUUGGGAUUCCCAAUGGAAGAUGACACUUACACGAAUGUUUGGUACGAGUGAUACAAUAUGUCACGAAAAUAGGUCAGUUUCAAAGAUUAUGUGCUCGUUUGCGAACUUAUGGGUUGUUUGAUAGUAAGUUUGUUCGAAUUGAGGAACAAGUGUUGUUUUCUAAACACCGUCAGGCAGGACCAACAUAAUCGAGCUGGAUAUUUUACUUUCUUUCGAUCUAGUCAAACAGUGAGUUUUUACUUCCAUAGAGUCUUACACGCGUGUCUUGGACUGCAUAGAGAUGUUGUGAUUAAUGCAACUUCUCAUAACUCUCCAUACGAGAAGGAAAAUGUGAAGCCAUGGUACUCAUUUUUUCAAGUUCGAGGUUUGUGGUUAUUUCAUUAUAUGUUAGAACUUCAAUAUUAUAAUAUUUUGAAAAUUAUUCUUUUUUAAAGAAAGGUAAUAGAUGGUACACAUAUUACUGCGAACGUCUCCUUAGAAGAGCAAGCUAGGUAUCACAAUAGAAAGCAAGUGAUUUCUCAAAAUGUUUUGGUGGUUUGCACAUUUGAUAUGAAAUUUACAUAUGUGCUUGCUGAUUGGGAGGGAUCAGCACAUGACGAUCGAUUGUUAAAGAGUGCAAUAUUACGCCAAGGGCAUAAGCUAACAAUUCCUUUUGGUAAGUUGUAUUACUAUUUUCAAAAAAAUUUCUUUUACAUAAAAGUUAUAAUAAUUAAAUAAUUACUAUGUAAUAACUGUAACAAGUAAAUAUUAUCUUGUUGACGUCGAUUUUCCAUUGGUUUUGUGAUUUUUUGCACUAUACCAUAGGACUCGUUAUCAUCAUAGAGACAUUGAGAGUCAACGUCUUGAAAUUAGUAAGGAGUUAUUCAAUUUUUGACAUUCAUCUCUACGUGAUGUCAUUGAGAGGACAAUUAGUUUGCUUAAAAAAAGAUUUGAUAUUUGAGAUAUCAAGCCUACCACGACAUUGACACACAAGCAAAGAUAGACCUUGCUUGUUUUGUCAUCCACAACUUUUUAAGGAUUGAUGACAUAGAAGAUUUUUGUAAGGAGGAUUUAGUUAGUAGCAAUGAAGAGGUUAACCCUACACACUGUUAAUGUACCUAAGGAUGAAACUACAAAUGCUCACAUAUUUCACAUCUCAAGAAACAUGGUUUAACAAGAGGAAUACAAUUCUUGGGUUAAUAUGGGCUGAUUAUCAUCCCAAUCAAGAUGUAGGAGUUUAUUUCGAUUGAAAUCUGAUAUUUUUUAUUUAUUUAUAUUGUUAUGUAAUGGACAUAAACUUGACACACUUUCAUAUUUAGCUAUUGCUUAGAAUAAAGACAUACUAAUAUUAGAUAGAUUUUUAUUUCAUGUAUUUGUGUAAUGGUUGACAUAAAGUUGCUAGAAUUUUAAAUGUUGUAAUUGGAUUUGAUCUUAUUCGUUUCAAAUUGUUGACUUACAUUAUUUUUACGUGCUUGUAUUUAAUAGUCAACCAUAAACUUUUAAUCUUGCUAUACAGAUUUCAUAGCACAUAAUCGACAAAAUUCUAUGACACCACUUUGAGUUCCUAGACCAAUCAUCCAUUUAGAUGUGGAGGAAAUAAGCUCAACCCAAGUGGACCCCAAUUCUAGGAAUCCUCAUGUGCGUUGGAGUGAUGCAAUGGACGGUUGUAUGAUAACUACACUAUUGCAUCAAGUGUUGGUCGGUCACAAAAUUAGUGACAAUGGAUUUUCAUCAUUUCACGUUUCCAAAGCAAUUGAGAGCAUGCAUAACGGACGUGGAGUCAUGGUCUCAGAUAAGAAUGCGAAGGUGCGAUUGAAGACUCUAAAAAAAGAAUUUUUCGAAGUUCGCCAAUUGUUGAGUAUGAGUGGUUUUAGGUUAGAUUCUGACACUGGACGUGCCACAGCUGAUGUUUUAGCUUGGGAGGAGUUUUUGAAGGUACAAUAUGUCAUCGACCAAUGAAAUUAUUAGGCAUUAAAUAUUAGCAGUACAGUAUCUUUUGAACAUUGACUACGCAUAACACACAUUCCACUCUUUUUUCCUUUCUAGGGAAAACUAGAAUUCAGAAUGUAGAGGACCAAACUCUGUCCUCGUUAUGAUGAUAUGAAGGCUAUCUUUGGAAAUGACUCUACUACAGGAGAUCGAGAUGUAAUCGGCAAUGAUAAUUUAUCUCCCAUUCCUAGUAUGUUAAAUAUUUUAGAAUAUUGGUUGUGAUACGCCUCCACUACUUUAAGAAGGCGUGAUUGGAUAAUUU
rnacentral:lncRNA from 1 species